rnacentral:SRP_RNA from 2 species
GCUGGGCAUGGUGGCGUGUGCCUGUAAUCCCAGCUACUUGGGAGGCUGAGGCAGGAGAAUCGCUUGAACCUGGGAGAUGGAGGUCACAGUGAGCCAAGAUUGAACCACUGCCCUCCAGCCUGGGUGACAGAGUGAGACUCUGUCUAAA